UACGAAGGGGGCUAGCGUUGCUCGGAAUCACUGGGCGUAAAGGGUGCGUAGGUGGGUCUUUAAGUCAGGGGUGAAAUCCUGGAGCUCAACUCCAGAACUGCCUUUGAUACUGAGGAUCUUGAGUUCGGGAGAGGUGAGUGGAACUGCGAGUGUAGAGGUGAAAUUCGUAGAUAUUCGCAAGAACACCCGUGGCGAAGGCGGCUCUCUGGAACGCAACUGACGCUGAGACGCGAAAGCGUGGGGAGCAAACAGG
rnacentral:rRNA from 1 species